rnacentral:rRNA from 1 species
CCUACGGGAGGCUGCAGUGGGGGAUAUUGCUCAAUGGGGGGAACCCUGAUGCAGCGACGCCGCGUGGGUGAAGAAGCGCCUCGGCGCGUAAAGCUCUGUCAGCAGGGAAGAAAAUGACGGUACCUGAAGAAGAAGCCCUGGCCAACUACGUGCCAGCCGCCGCGGUAAUACGACGGGGGCCAGCGUUAUCCGGAUUGACUGGGUGUAAAGGGGGCGUAGGCGGUGUGGCAAGCCAGGAGUGAAAGGCCGGGGCCCAACCCCGGGACUGCUCUGGGAACUGGGUGGCUGGAGUGCAGGAGGGGCAGGCGGAAUUCCUGGGGUAGCGGUGAAAUGCGUAGAUAGCAGGAGGAACACCGGUGGCGAAGGCGGCCUGCUGGACUGCAACUGACGUUGAGGCCCGAAAGCGUGGGGAGCAAACAGGAUUAGAUACCCGAGUAGUC